rnacentral:lncRNA from 1 species
UUGCGUCGCCACUACUCCCAAAAGGUAGCCCACUCUCUGAAAAGUUAAUCGCCACCACAAGUAGCUGCUGGCAUCACCGGACAUGCCAUAAAUGGCACCGAACAGCUGCUGCCGUUCCUUACGCUCUUCGCCGCUUGCAGUUGAUGUCGUCACUGCCGCUGCACUCGCCGACCAUCACUGACGCACCUCCGACGCCAUCCUCCUCUACCUGCCAUGGAUGGCAGCCCCCAAGCUCUCCU